rnacentral:rRNA from 1 species
GUGUCAGCAGCCGCGGUAAUACGUAGGGUGCGAGCGUUAAUCGGAAUUACUGGGCGUAAAGCGUGCGCAGGCGGUUGGGCAAGACCGAUGUGAAAGCCCCGGGCUUAACCUGGGAAUGGCAUUGGUGACUGCUCGGCUAGAGUGUGUCAGAGGGGGGUAGAAUUCCACGUGUAGCAGUGAAAUGCGUAGAGAUGUGGAGGAAUACCGAUGGCGAAGGCAGCCCCCUGGGAUAACACUGACGCUCAGGCACGAAAGCGUGGGGAGCAAACAGGAUUAGAUACCCUAGUAGUCC